UACGUAGGGUGCGAGCGUUGUCCGGAAUUCUUGGGCGUAAAGCGCACGUAGGCGGCAUCGCAAGUCGGAUGUGAAAUCUUAUGGCUUAACCAUAAAAGUGCAUCCGAAACUGCAGUGCUUGAGUACUUAAGAGGAUCGCGGAAUUCCCGGUGUAGAGGUGAAAUUCGUAGAUAUCGGGAGGAACACCAGUGGCGAAGGCGGCGAUCUGGGAAGAUACUGACGCUGAGGUGCGAAAGCGUGGGGAGCAAACAGG
rnacentral:rRNA from 1 species